rnacentral:rRNA from 1 species
UACAGAGGUCUCAAGCGUUGUUCGGAUUCAUUGGGCGUAAAGGGUGCGUAGGCGGCGCGGUAAGUCGGGUGUGAAAUCUCGGAGCUUAACUCCGAAACUGCAUUCGAUACUGCCGUGCUUAAGGACUGGAGAGGAGACUGGAAUUUACGGUGUAGCGGUGAAAUGCGUAGAUAUCGUAAGGAAGACCAGUGGCGAAGGCGGCAUCCUGGACCAACACUGACGCUGAGUGAGCGAAAGCCAGGGGAGCAAACGGG